CGGCGGACGGGUGAGUAACGCGUGGGUAACCUACCCUGUACACACGGAUAACAUACCGAAAGGUAUGCUAAUACGGGAUAAUAUAUUUGAGAGGCAUCUCUUGAAUAUCAAAGGUGAGCCAGUACAGGAUGGACCCGCGUCUGAUUAGCUAGUUGGUAAGGUAACGGCUUACCAAGGCGACGAUCAGUAGCCGACCUGAGAGGGUGGUCGGCCACAUUGGAACUGAGACACGGUCCAA
rnacentral:rRNA from 1 species